GAUGAACGCUAGCGGCAGGCCUAAUACAUGCAAGUCGGACGGGAUUCAGGAGCUUGCUUCUGAUGAGAGUGGCGCACGGGUGCGUAACACGUAUGUAACCUACCUUUAUCAGGGGGAUAGCCUCUCGAAAGAGAGAUUAAGCCCGCAUAAAAUCACAGCACAGCAUUGUGUAAUGAUCAAAUAUUUAUAGGUUAAAGAUGGGCAUGCGGAACAUUAGCUAGAUGGCGGGGUAACGGCCCACCAUGGCGACGAUGUUUAGGGGAUCUGAGAGGAUGGCCCCCCACACUGGUACUGAGACACGGACCAGACUCCUACGGGAGGAAGCAGUAAGGAAUAUUGGUCAAUGGGCGGAAGCCUGAACCAGCCAUGCCGCGUGCAGGAAGACGGCCCUACGGGUUGUAAACUGCUUUUAUACGGGAAUAAACCCAGAUACGUGUAUCUGGCUGAAUGUACUGUAAGAAUAAGGAUCGGCUAACUCCGUG
rnacentral:rRNA from 1 species